UGUGUGUGUGUAUGGGCUUAGGAAUGGAGUGGGUAAUGAGAGGUUGUGUCCCCUUUCUCCCAGUGGAGGGUGGUAUAUAGUACCCUGCCCCUUCAACUAAAAACAAACAAACAAAUCCUCUGGCCUUCAGUAAUUUCCACUGAGCAAGAGUCUUGAAUGAGAGACCCUGGAUUCCUGGGCCCCAGUUGGUGCUCCGCCCCACCUGAGGUUGGCUCCAGAAUUUUUCCUAGCGUACUGAACACUGGCUGCCUUGAGGGGACCUUAAAGGAAUCGGAUGAUUUCCACCUCCAACCAAUCUCUGGGGAAUCAAAAAAAGGAGCUGGUGAAGAUCUCCAGGGACUUGAAGACACCUGUCUGCAGUGUUGGAGAGGGGCAAUGAUGUGGCCCUCCUGCCUCAGUGAUCAAAACUGCAGGUCCUGCCUCGGCAGGGAGAAGAGCAUGGCCCUGCCAGCCUUAAAGACAUGGAGAGGAGCAAAAAAUGGAAACCAUUUCCUGGAGCUGACAGACCAGCAGGACAGGUGUCCAGAGGCUUUUGGCUGCUGUUUACCAGGACUGGGACCAUGCCACAUGUGGAAUCUCGUUGCUUGACCGGGGAUUGAACCUGUGCCCUGUGCAUUGGAAGCACAGAGUCUUAACCACUGCAACACCAAAGAGGUCCACUGAAACUUUAUUUAAAAUUGUAUCAUUACCCUUCUCAAAAAUCUCACACUUCUUUUAAAAGAUAAAACUCCUCCUUGUGAUAGUUUAGAUCCUCUUCAGUUGACAAUGACUUGUGUUUUCUGUCUUACUGCUCACUGUUUCUUAAAAAAUAAUCAUUGCAUUUGUUAAGGUGUGUAGUGAU
ensembl:lncRNA